rnacentral:rRNA from 1 species
GAUGAACGCUGGCGGCGUGCCUAAUACAUGCAAGUCGAGCGAACAGACGAGGAGCUUGCUCCUCUGACGUUAGCGGCGGACGGGUGAGUAACACGUGGAUAACCUACCUAUAAGACUGGGAUAACUUCGGGAAACCGGAGCUAAUACCGGAUAAUAUAUUGAACCGCAUGGUUCAAUAGUGAAAGACGGAUUUGCUGUCACUUAUAGAUGGAUCCGCGCCGCAUUAGCUAGUUGGUAAGGUAACGGCUUACCAAGGCAACGAUGCGUAGACGACCUGAGAGGGUGAUCGGCCACACUGGAACUGAGACACGGUCCAGACUCCUACGGGAGGCAGCAGUAGGGAAUCUUCCGCAAAGGGCGAAAGCCUGAUGGAGCAACGCCGCGUGAGUGAUGAAGGUCUUCGGAUCGUAAAACUCUGUUAUUAGGGAAGAACAAAUGUGUAAGUAACUAUGCACGUCUUGACGAUACCUAAACAGAAAGCCACGGCUAACUACGUG